AUCUGAACGCCUUGAUGGUGAAUGUAGGCAGAGUAACAGUGAAGAAUUAAUCUGCAAUGCUACCCAGAAAAUAUAUAAAAUGGCAUGCAAGCUCAAUAGACUAUCCAACUGUACCAUGAAUGCUGAUUUAAAGAACAACUUGACCAGUGUUUAUAACCACACAUUCAACUUGCUAAAGGACUGCGUCAAGGAAGAAAAAAGACAUCAGAGGACAGACACUUGCCAAAAAUCAAAUUCUACAGCCUUAUGUCGCAUAAAGAAAACCAUCUGCAAGUUUAAGUUAUGCUGGAUGCAGUAUAUAAACUCUUAAGUGAAACUUGAUGAACUAUAAAAAUGGUUUUGUGGACUAUUUCCCCAAUAACUUUGCAC